rnacentral:rRNA from 1 species
AGGGUGUAAACGCUGCAGACUUGGUGUUGGAAAUCCUUCGAGGGUAUUCAGUGCCGGAGAGAAGUUGUUAAGUCUGCUACUUGGGGAGUACGUCCGCAAGGAUGAAACUUAAAAGGAAUUGGCGGGGGAGCACCGCAACGGGAGGAGCGUGCGGUUUAAUUGGAUUCAACACCGGAAAACUCACCAGGGGAGACUGUUACAUGAAACCCAGACUAAUGAUCUUGGUUGAUUUCAGAGAGGAGGUGCAUGGCGUCAGUGACU